rnacentral:rRNA from 1 species
GACGAACGCUGGCGGCGUGCUUAACACAUGCAAGUCGAACGGAAAGGCCCUGCUUUUGUGGGGUGCUCGAGUGGCGAACGGGUGAGUAACACGUGAGUAACCUGCCCUUGACUUUGGGAUAACUUCAGGAAAUUGGGGCUAAUACCGGAUAGGAGCUCCUGCUGCAUGGUGGGGGUUGGAAAGUUUCGGCGGUUGGGGAUGGACUCGCGGCUUAUCAGCUUGUUGGUGGGGUAGUGGCUUACCAAGGCUUUGACGGGUAGCCGGCCUGAGAGGGUGACCGGCCACAUUGGGACUGAGAUACGGCCCAGAAUCCUACGGGAGGCAGCAGUGGGGAAUAUUGCACAAUGGGCGGAAGCCUGAUGCAGCAACGCCGCGUGCGGGAUGACGGCCUUCGGGUUGUAAACCGCUUUCGCCUGUGACGAAGCGUGAGUGACGGUAAUGGGUAAAGAAGCACCGGCUAACUACGUG